rnacentral:rRNA from 1 species
UGUGCCUUUAGAGAAGAGGAACUACCCAGUUAACCAUUCCGAACCUGGAAGUCAAGCUCUUCAUCGCUGAUAAUACUGCUCUUUUCAAG